CACGAAGCACUCGCUCAUGUCGGAGGAGGAGGAAGAGCGAUCCAUGGGCAGGGGAAUUUGAGAGAGAGACCUCCUUCAGACCCGGUUAGCGCACUGUUUUCAAAAAACCUGAAUGGAACAACCUGUUGAGAGAGCAAAGAGCGCUUGUGUUUGUGGCACACGGGAGCCUGGCGGCCGCAGGUGCAUGUCAACAGGAGACCCACGGCAGGCCUCCCCUCCACGGCCCCUCCCACACCCCAGACUUAGACAUGCUGGUACUGGACAUCCUGAGCUGCUUCAAGUUGGAACGUCACAUCCUCCAGAGUUCCAGGCGGCACUAAAGUCUCUGGGACAUGGUCAGCUGUUUAGAUGGGUUCCCAGGAAGGCUCACUGUUCUGGAAAGGUCUGUAAGCCUGUGACCUGAGCUCCUUGAGGUUCAGGGGGCAGGUCUGACUGAAGCAGAGUUUUCCCUUCCCCGGCUCAGGAGGGAUUUCCCACUUCUCCCUGGUGAGUGUCUGAGGGUAGUGACUCUGCCAGGCUGGGGGCCGCAGGUCCCGGAAGCCCAGGGCAUGGAUGCUUGUGGGUAUUCAAUUGAUGUCUUUCCCAUAGUUGGUUUCAUUUAGGCAUUGUAUACGUAUUUUCUGCCAAACUCUGUUACACUUCAAGCUCCAUGAAAGCAGGGACCAUGACUACUUUGUUAACUGUAUAACCAGGGCCUGGCCCUGAGGCUGGCACUAGAUGCCCAACAAAGGCUUGUUGAAUGAGUGGCCAACACCUUACCUUUUCUACAGUUGGUCUUUCUGGUUAAAGAGAAAGAAUGAAAGUGAUGGGAUUGACACUGUGUUCUAUGGAAAUGCUGCUCCCUGGAGUUGUGCAACAUAAGUGCUCCAGAUAGAAGGGCACACAGCAAAGCUGACUCAGGCGAUGGUGCAAGUUCAAUUUUUAACUUUUGUGCCCAGAAAGUCCUCAUGUCUCAACUCCUGGCUGGGCCUGGGAUGGUCCCAAAGUCUUCAGGCUGAUGUUUCUUUAAGGUCGUCCUAGGAAGCAGGACCAGAGUCCUCCUGUUCAUGAAGUCCAGGGCUCCCUGCGAUGGUCCCCAGAUUGGGUACAUCCAUGGCCCUGCCUGUGCUCCUGCUAUAUCUACCCAGGGCCAGGCGCUUCCAUCUCUCACCUUCCCCUCUCUGCCAGCUCUCAGCAUGCCUUCCAGGACAUGGCUUGUGUUUGGCUAAUGUUUGCAUGGAGUUCAGUCUCUCUCCUGGAGAAAAGGGCAGAUAUUCUGAUGGCUGGGGCACCAGCUGGGGCUGUGGAUUCCAGCAGCGCAGCAGAGGGGAAGAAGCCCUGGAAUCUGAGUCUGGAGGCCGGGUCAGAGUCUCGACACUGAUCGUCAGCUCACUAGAAAAUGAAGGCACUGUGAUGCCUGAGGUGUUGGCUGCCUCUAGGGUUCCAUGAGUCUCAGACACCCACCUCUUCAAGAGUAGGUGCCAAGGCUGUCACGGAUUUGCAAUGAUUUUCCCAUGUGUUAACUGGAAACUUAAAGGAAACAUUAGCCAUGAGGGUUGGGAGCUUAGAUUAAUAUUUAGAAAGGAUUUACAAAUAAAAGAACCCAGUUAAUCCCAAAAUAGAAGUCUUUUCAUUUCUAUUUGCGUAGUGGGUGGAGAUGGAGUCCCUGGCUAGGACAUUUCCCAUAACCUUCCCUGUCAAGCCCCUCUGCUGUAGCAGUUUCUAACUUUACAGCCACAAAGCCAGCAUGUGCU
rnacentral:lncRNA from 1 species